rnacentral:lncRNA from 1 species
UUUGAAUUACAUCACUCACUUUGUGCAAAAAGGUUUGUUGGAUCACAAAUGUCUAUGGCCAUUGUGGUUGCAGAGAAAGGAAAUUGGUUUGGCCCGAAUUGUCUUCCUUGGCUGAUUGUUCGUCCGUGGCCUGGUGCAUAGGUGGGGAUUUUAAUAUCACUCGUUGGGCCCGGGAAAGAUUUCCUUUUGGCAGAAGUACUAGAGGAAUGUCAUUAUUCAAUAAGUUUAUUGACAUGGUUUCUCUCAUGGAAAUUCCAUUGCAAAACGGAAGGUUCACUUGGUCUAGAGACGGUAAUUCUCCUUGAAGAUCAUUAUUAGACAGAUUCUUCAUAAAUCAGAUGUGGGAUGUUUGUUUUGAAAAUUCUCGGGUUUCUCGAAAAGCACGCAUCUUCUCGGAUCACUUUCCUUUAUUCUUGGAGGCUGGUUCUUUUCUUUGGGGUCCCUCUCCUUUUCGGUUUUGUAACAGCUGGUUGGUGUCCAGUGAUUCCAAUCAGAUUAUUGUUGAAACAGUGAGCAACUCUAACUUCCAGGGAUGGGCUGGUUUCAUUCUUCAUGAGCAGUUGAGAUCAGUUAAAUUGGCAGUAAAAGCUUGGAAUAUUGCUGCGCAAGCUAAGGUAAAAAAAAAAACAGAGAAAUCCUUGAUGUCAAAAUUAGAAAAAUAUGAUUCUGUGGCUGAGUUGAUUGGAUUAAAUCAAGAAGAGUUGAAUUCUAGAGCUGCUUUGCAAGCGGAAUUACUUAGUAUUUAUCAAAAUGAAGAGCGUAAUUUUAUUCAGAAGAGUAAACUCAAUUGGCUUUCUUUGGGUGAUGAGAAUACGGGCUUCUUCCACCGCUUUCUAAAUGCGAAAAAAAGAAGGAACCUCAUAACUGAAUUAAAAGAUGAUGAUGGGAUUGUCUCGACUUCAUUCGGCGACAUUGAAAGGAUUGUGCUGGAAUUUUUUGAGUCACUUUAUACCAGAAUUCCGGGGGACAGCUUCAUCCCUAUUAACAGUAAUUGGUCUUGUGUUUCCUCAAUUCAGAAUGAGGCUCUUGUUACCCAAUUUUCAGUGGAGGAGAUCUUUAAGGCAUUAAAGGCACUUGGCAACAACAAAGCUCCGGGCCCGGAUGGCUUCACAGUGAAGUUCCUAAUCACCCAAUGGUCUAUUUUCAAGGAUAUCUUCAAAUCACUAAUGUCUGAUUUCCACAGAAAUGGAAGAUUAAAUGCUUGCAUCCAAGAAAACUUCAUUUGUUUAGUGCAGAAAAAAGAGAAUGUGACUCUAGUCAAGGAUUUCCGUCCAAUCAGCCUUACUACGUUAGCAUACAAGGUCGUUGCAAAGGUUUUAUCUUAACGUCUAAAACAAGUUAUGGAUGCAAUUAUAAGCCCCACUCAAAGCGCCUUUAUUGAAGGUAGGAAAAUUCUUGACCCAAUAUUAAUUGCUAACGAGGCCGUGGAAGAUUAUAGGGCAAAACGGAAAAAAGGAUGGAUUUUAAAACUUGACUUGGAAAAAGCCUUUGAUAGGGUGAAUUGGAACUUUUUAGAAAAAAAUUUAUCUUUGAAAAAGUUUAGUUCCAAAUGGAUAUCAUGGAUAAUGAGCUGCCCAAAAAAUCCAAAGUAUUCGGUCUUCAUCAAUGGUAAGCCUAGAGGCCGGACAACAGCAUCUUGAGGUAUCCGCCAAGGGUACCCCCUCUCCCCCUUUUUAUUCCUCCUAGUAAGUGAGGUUUUAGGAGAAAUCAUAAACAAGCUUCAUAUUAACAGCCAGUUUGAAGGUUUCCUUGUUGGCAAAGACUUGAUCCACCUCCCUUUGCUUCAAUUUGUCGAUGAUACUCUUCUCUUUUGUAAGUAUGAUGUGAAGAUGGUCCUUAAACUUUAAAACGUCAUUAGAUUAUUCGAAUGGUGUUCGGGGCAGAAAGUAAACUGGGAAAAAUCAGCCCUUAGCGGCGUUAAUGUGGGAGAGGAAGAUUUGUUUCAAACAGCAAAUCUGAUAGGGUGCAAGGUAGAAAAGCUUCUGAUUAUAUAUUUAGGUCUCCCUUUGGGAGGCUACCCUCGACAAAAGUCUUUUUGGCAACCAGUCAUUGAUCGAAUUCACAAGAAACUUGAAAGGUGGAAAAGAUAUAACAUCUCUAGAGGCGGAAGACAAACCUUAUGCAACUCAGUUCUGGUUAGCCCUCCUACAUACUACCUACUUUAUUUUCUAUACCUGAAAAUGUGGCUGCCUCUUUGUUAAAGUGAGUUUUUUGAGUGAAGGAAAAGGUCUGCAAUACUCCUUGAAAGACAGGGGAAGCAGAAGAUUGGUGUUCUAUAUUCUGGUUUGCUUAUUAGUACUUUGUUGUUCGGAAUUUUGGAUUAGGAGGUUUUCUUUGUUUGAUGUUUGUGAAUUAUAUGUAACGUGACUCAUUUUCUGAGGUUCACGGUUUGCUUAUGUUGUAAGUUGUGUUUGAAUUAUCAAUAUAAUAGAAACACUACAUCAGUGUUCUAUCAGGAUGUCAUCCUUGGAAUGCAAUGGCUGCACACGUUGGGGUAACCGAAGUGGAUUGGCGGAAACUCACUUUAACUUUCAUACAAAAUGAAAAGAAUGUUGUUAUAAGGGGUGACCCGAGUUUGACAAAGACUAGAGUGAGUCUGUAACACAUGAUGGAGACAUGGACACCAUCUGAUUAAGGUUUCUUGACAAAAUGUCGAGCUAUGGAGGGAGGAAUGACAUUUACCGAACUAUAUGGAAUUGAUGAUGUUCCUACAUUUCAAGAGUUACUACCAGCAGACAAUUUUGGCUAUCCUAAAAAUCCAGCAACAAAGAAGUGGGAAGUGCUUGUUAGUUGGAAAGGAAUACCACCUCAUGAGGCUACAUGGGAGAAUUGUGAUGAUUUUACACAAAAGCUUCCUCAUUUCCCACCUUGAGAACAAGGUGUCUUUGGAGAGGGAGAGUAAUGAUAGACCACCAAUUGCAAUACAAUAUAGCAGAAGAAAGACAAGUGGAAUUGCACGUGCACGGGUGAUGGAAUUGGAGGAAGUGGAAACCACCUUAGUGGGGACAACAGUUAGUUACAGGGGGAGGUUAAAAGGGAGAGAUGGAAGGAAAGAUGGGGGUUGGUUAAUCAGUUUCUGGAAGUGGAGGGGCUGUAUUUUCUGGAGAGCAGAAUUACAGAAGUUGUUCGGUUACUUUAAUCUUAGAAAGUGUUUUCCAUUAUCGUAAACUACUUUUGAUGUUUGAAUGUUUUAUUUUGUACUUGGUUAUUGUCUGUAAUAGUACUUAUUUGUUCUGUGCUUUCAAAGACUGGUUUGAGUAUUGUAUUCUGUAAUAGUUUGGUUGCUUGAUGAACAAAUAAGAACCAUUACUUGGUGUUCUAUCAGCUUCUCAAUCAAGCAUUCACAUCUCAAUAAGGUAUUAUACAUGCAAUCAAACAAUCACAACAUACAUACCAUUUACUCAAAACGACCUAAAACAUGCUCAAAACGUGUCUAAGUUUCACUGGAACUUUGAAAACGACCUAAAACAGCUUACGUGUAGGUUCGUAACUCAUAACCUACGAAAAAAGUUCAAAUAUUGUGAAAAAAGCACUACAAGACCCAAAAUGGCAACCAAGUGUGUAAGUGCAACAAACUUAGUUCAAACCAACCUAAAACGUGCUCAAAACGUGUCUAGGUAUUACUUGAGUUUUCAAAACGACCUAGCAAAUCCUAAGUGUAAGUUCGUAACUCAUAAUCUACCAAAAAGGUUGAAAAAAGCAUUUCAAGACCAAAAAUGACAACCAAGUGCAACAAACUCAAUCUAACCUAAAAUGAAUUCAAAACGUGUGUAAGUAUCACUUGAAUUUUCAAAACGACCAAGUAAUGCUUAAGUGUAAGUUUGUAACUCACAACCUACCAAAAUUUCAAAAAGUGUGAAAAAAGUACAUCAAGACCCAACAUGUCAAUCAAAUGUGUUUAAAACUUAGUUUCAAACCAACCUAAAACGAGUUCAAAACGUGUCUAAGUAUCACUUUAACUUUCAAAACGACCUAAAAAAGCUUACGUGUAGGUUCGUAACUCAUAACCUACGAAAAAAGUUCAAAUAUUGUGAAAAAAGCACUACAAGACCCAAGAUGGCAACCAAGUGUGUAAGUGCAACAAACUUAGUUCAAACCAACCUAAAACGUGCUCAAAACGUGUCUAGGUAUUACUUGAGUUUUCAAAACGACCUAGCAAAUCCUAAGUGUAAGUUCGUAACUCAUAAUCUACCAAAAAGGUCGAAAAAAGCAUUUCAAGACCAAAAAUGACAACCAAGUGCAACAAACUCAAUCUAACCUAAAAUGUAUUCAAAACGUGUGUAAGUAUCACUUGAAUUUUCAAAACGACCAAGCAAUGCUUAAGUGUAAGUUUGUAACUCACAACCUACCAAAAUUUCAAAAAGUGUGAAAAAAGUACAUCAAGACCCAACAUGUCAAUCAAAUGUGUUUAAAACUUAGUUUCAAACCAACCUAAAACGAGUUCAAAACGUGUCUAAGUAUCACUUUAACUUUCAAAACGACCUAAAAAAGCUUACGUGUAGGUUCGUAACUCAUAACCUACGAAAAAAGUUCAAAUAUUGUGAAAAAAGCACUACAAGACCCAAGAUGGCAACCAAGUGUGUAAGUGCAACAAACUUAGUUCAAACCAACCUAAAACGUGCUCAAAACGUGUCUAGGUAUUACUUGAGUUUUCAAAACGACCUAGCAAAUCCUAAGUGUAAGUUCGUAACUCAUAAUCUACCAAAAAGGUCGAAAAAAGCAUUUCAAGACCAAAAAUGACAACCAAGUGCAACAAACUCAAUCUAACCUAAAAUGUAUUCAAAACGUGUGUAAGUAUCACUUGAAUUUUCAAAACGACCAAGCAAUGCUUAAGUGUAAGUUUGUAACUCACAACCUACCAAAAUUUCAAAAAGUGUGAAAAAAGUACAUCAAGACCCAACAUGUCAAUCAAAUGUGUUUAAAACUUAGUUUCAAACCAACCUAAAACGAGUUCAAAACGUGUCUAAGUAUCACUUUAACUUUCAAAACGACCUAAAAAAGCUUACGUGUAGGUUCGUAACUCAUAACCUACGAAAAAAGUUCAAAUAUUGUGAAAAAAGCACUACAAGACCCAAGAUGGCAACCAAGUGUGUAAGUGCAACAAACUUAGUUCAAACCAACCUAAAACGUGCUCAAAACGUGUCUAGGUAUUACUUGAGUUUUCAAAACGACCUAGCAAAUCCUAAGUGUAAGUUCGUAACUCAUAAUCUACCAAAAAGGUCGAAAAAAGCAUUUCAAGACCAAAAAUGACAACCAAGUGCAACAAACUCAAUCUAACCUAAAAUGUAUUCAAAACGUGUGUAAGUAUCACUUGAAUUUUCAAAACGACCAAGCAAUGCUUAAGUGUAAGUUUGUAACUCACAACCUACCAAAAUUUCAAAAAGUGUGAAAAAAGUACAUCAAGACCCAACAUGUCAAUCAAAUGUGUUUAAAACUUAGUUUCAAACCAACAUAAAACGAGUUCAAAACGUGUCUAAGUUUCACUUGAACUUUCAAAACGACCUAACAAAUAUUCAAUACAAGUUCAUAAGUCAUAACCUAGCAAAAAGUUCAAAGUUUUUGAAAAAGACACUCCAAAAACCCAAAGUGUCAAGUGUGUAAGUGCAACGAACUUAGUUCUAUACAAACCUAACAAGUAUUGAAAACACGUAUAAGUUUUCAAACACCCUAACAACGCUUAAGUGUAAGUUUAUAACUCAUAACUUACCAAAAAUUUCAAAAAGUGUGAAAAAAAAUCUUUCAAGACUCAAAAUGGCAACCAUGGCUGUAUGUAAAACUAACUUAGUUUGUAACAACCUAAAAGGUGUUCAAAAAAUGUUCAAGUAUCACUCGAACUUUAAAAACGACCUAAUAAUGCUUUAGUGUUACUUCAUAACUCAUAACCUACCAAACAGUUCAAAAAAUGUAGAAAAAGCACUCAAAAAUCCAAAAUGGCAACCAAGUGUGUAAGUGCAACAAACUUAGUCUCAACUUUAAAAUUAGUGCGAGUUGGGAAAUGUAUUAACUCAAGCAUGAUGUAAAAACUUGAAACGACUUAAAUAUUUAUUCACCAUCACAUAAAAAACAGUAACUAAAUAUUAGAUAACAUGUGUAAAUAAAGGGAGAAUCACCUUUCUAGCAGUAGCUUUAGAGUAAGACCAAACACAUCCAUCCUCCUACUUGUAAAUCUGCUCGAUUGUCUACUUUGUUCUACACUCGUCAUUUCACCGUCUCAGGCCAUCCAUUGAAUUGGCCACCCAGCCUUGGCAUACAAGAGUAUGUCUCAGCCUGUUAACAAAUACCACUAAAACUAAGCAAGACGAAGAAAAAAGUUUUCAAAAAAUUACCUAACUUUUAGGUCUUCAUUUGACCUUUAAGUACUUCUGUCUUCUCCUUCAACUCUUUGACAGAUUGCUGAAAUUAUGUGUUUCUGCAAUGUUUACCAGAACAUGAAAGAUUCAUUAUGAAAAUAAAUACCAUGAAGAAAUAGUAAAACAGUCAAUACAAGAAGAAAAAAGUUCACUUGAAAACGACCUAAAACAGUAUCACUUGAACAAAAUGUGUCUAAGUAUCACUUGAACUUUCAAAACGACCUAAAACAAGCUUACGUGUAGGUUCGUAACUCAUAACCUACGAAAAAAGUUCCAAUAGUGUGAAAAAAGCACUACAAGACCCAAAAUGGCUACCAAGUGUGUAAGUGUAACAAACUUAGUUCAAACCAACCUAAAACGUGCUCAAAACGUGUCUAGGUAUUACUUGAGUUUUCAAAACGACCUAGCAAAUCCUAAAUGUAGGUUCGUAACUCAUAAUCUACCAAAAAGGUCGAAAAAAGCAUUUCAAGACCAAAAAUGACAACCAAGUGCAACAAACUCAAUCAAACGUGUGUACGUAUCACUUCAACUUUCAAAACGACCAAACAAUGCUUAAGUGUAAGUUUGUAACUCGCAACCUACCAAAAUUUCAAAAGUGUAAAAAAAGCACUUCAAGACCCAAAACGGCAACGAAGUAUGUAAGUGCAACGGACUUAGUUUCAAGCCAUCCUAAAAAGAGUGCAAAACGUGUCUAAGAUUUCAAACCGACCAAACAAUACUCAAGCGUAAGUUCGUAACUCACAACCUAAAAAAAUUUUCAAAAAGUGUGAAAAAAAGUACUUCAAGACCCAACAUUUCAAUCAAAUGUGUAAGUGCAACAAACUUAGUUUCAAACCAACGCAAAAUGUGUUUAAAAACGACCUAACAAUCAUUAAGUGUAAGUUCGUAACUCAACAAACUAACAAAAAGUUCAAAAUGCGUGAAAAAUGCACUUGGAGACCUAAAAUGGCAACCAAGUAUGCAAGUGAAACAAACUUAGUCUUAAACAAAUCUAAAAAAAUUUCAAACCGUGUUUAAGUAUCACUUGAACUUUCAGAACGACCUAAGAAUGUUUAUUUGUAAGUUCGUCACUCAUAACCUACCAAAAAGUUCAAGAAGUAUGGAAAAAAAGGAAACACUACAGGACCCAAAAUGGCAACCAAGUGCGCAAGUGCAACAAACUUAGUUCCAAACCAACCUAAAAAGUGGUCAAGGCGUGUCUAAGUAUCACUUGGACUUUCAAAACAACCUAACGAAGUUUAAGUGUAAGUUGGUAACCCAUAGCCUACCAAAAAGUUCAAAAAGUGUGGAAAGGGCACUUCAAGACCGAAAAUGGCAACCAAUUGGAUAAGGUCAACAAACUUAGUUUCAAACCAACCUAAACCGAGUUAAAAAUGAAUUAUGGAAGUGUGGCUGCUCCUUUGACUCAAUUAUUGAAGAAAGGAGCAUAUGAAUGGACUGUUGCAGCUGCUGAAGCUUUUGAGAAUUUAAAGAUGGCUACGAUGGCUCUCCCAAUCUUAGCACUGCCAGAUUUUUUCUUACCAUUUGAAAUAGAGACCGAUGCUUCUGGAUACGGGGUAGGUGCUGUCUUAAUUCAAAAUCAUCGGCCAAUUGCUUAUUUUAGCCAGACAUUAGCUAUGAGGAAUCGUGCUAAACCAGUUUAUGAACGGGAAUUAAUGGCUGUAGUUUUGGCUGUGCAACGCUGUAGACCUUAUCUUUUGGGCAAGAGGUUUGAAGUGAAAACUGAUCAACGAUCAUUGAAACUUUUAUUGGAACAAAGGGUUAUCCAACCUCAACAUCAGAGGUGGAUUGUGUAAGACCUCCAAUUAUUCAUACAUAUCAAAGGAGGGGCAGAAAAGUAAUUGAACAAAUUAAUAAUGAGGAAGGAAAAAGAGGAGGAGAUCGUGCAGGUGGGGCCCAGGCACAGAAAUAAGAGAAAGAUGAGAGAAGGAAUAUAAAUAGGUCUUUUAGGUCUAAGGGAGGUAGGUUUUAUUUUUAUCCUGAAGUUGGCGGCUGCUUAGCCUAGAGGAAUAUCCAGUCUUUCCCUAGAGGAAGCUGGGUUUGUCUUCAUUAUCCCUUGUUUUUCUUGAAUCUUUAUGUUUUUCUGUACUCAUUUUGGCUAUAUAUAAAUAAAGAUAGCAGAGGGCUACCUCUGUUUUUUGGCCAUUGUAAGGGAGAAGUAGUGAAGUAAGCAAGUUGAAUCCUUACAUAUUGGUAUCAGAGCCUCCACACUGGGGGUGAUCACGCGUCUGAUGGCUCAAAGACAGAUAGAAGAACGGGUAGAAGGUACUGAAAAGGAAAUUAUGAGUCUGAAGGAGAUGAUGCUGGAAAUGAAGAAAUCGAUGGAUCGAAUGACAGACGAGCUAAGAGAAAACCAUGGUGCUAAGAAAAAAGAAGAAGCAGGGACUACGGACGACAUCAGGUUGAAACUGAAGGGAAAACUGGAAGAGGCCGGAACCGCAGUCGAGUCGGGUGGAAGCAGCGCAGACCGAAGUAAGUACAAAAAAUUAGAAAUGCCACUGUUUACAGGGGUGAACCCUGAAUCCUGGGCGUACCGAGCAGAACAUUUUUUUGAUAUAAAUGACUUACCGGAAGCUGAGAAGGUCAAAGUAGCAGUCGUGAGUUUUGGACAGGAAGAGGUAGACUGGUUUAGAUGGAGUAAUCGUAGAAAGAGGGUGGAAUCUUGGGAGGACUUGAAGGAAAGGAUGUUUGAUUUCUUUAAUGAUACAGGACAGCAGAGCUUGGGGGCAAGAUUAAUCCGUAUUAAGCAAGAAGGCUCAUACAGCGAGUACGUUAAGAAGUUUGUUACAUACUCAGCCCCCCUCCCGGACAUGGCAGAAAGUGUUCUGCUGGAUGCGUUUUUAACGGGUCUGGAACCCUCACUGCAAGCGGAAGUAAUCAGCAGACACCCUCAAACUUUAGAGGAAUGUAUGAAGGAAGCUCAGCUGGUGAAUGAUAGGAAUAUAGCAUUAAAACUGGCGAUGGAAGAGUUGGAUAUAGUUGAGCCCAAAAGGAAUGAGAACAGCAGCAAAUUUCAAGGAAAAAACGAGAAGACAGAAAGUAAAAAGACAGAGUUUGUGAUGAAGCAGGUAACUAUUCCAUUGAAAAAUGAUUACCAGAAAAAAGAUCCCCCCAAUUAAACGGCUGUCGGAUACGGAAUUUAGAGCAAGGCUGGAUAAGGGGCUUUGUUUCAGAUGUAAUGAAAAGUACGCCCCAGGCCAUCGAUGUAAAGGGAGAGAAAAAAGAGAGUUGAUGCUCCUUAUACUAAAUGAGGAAGAAGACCACAAAAGGGAAGAGGAUACAGAGGAUGAGGCAAGCGAAGUAAUAGAACUGAAUCAUCUGGAAUUGAAUAUGGAUAACCCUAUUGAAUUGAGGUUGAUCACGGGAGUUACAUCAAAGGGGACGAUGAAAUUAAAAGGACAUGUGAACGGAAGGGAAGUAGUUAUUCUGAUUGACAGCGGGGCGACCAAUAACUUCAUCAGCCAAGUGUUGGUAGAUGAACUACAGCUGAGCAUCGAUCCGGGAACUCGUUUUGGAGUUACCAUUGGGAAUGGCAACCAAUGUGAAGGAAGUGGGAUUUGCAAGAGGGUGAAGGUGAAGUUAAAAGAGUUAACAAUCGUAGCAGAUUUCCUAGCGGUAGAGUUAGGAACGGUAGACUUGGUGCUUGGGAUGCAAUGGCUAGAUUCGACAGGAACCAUGAAGGUUCACUGGCCAUCCCUAACCAUGACGUUUUGGACGAAGGGUAGAAGAAUAAUCCUAAAAGGUGACCCUUCUCUAACGAAGUCAGAAUGUUCAUUGAGAACCUUAGAGAAAACGUGGCAAUCCGGGGACCAAGGAUUCCUCUUGGAAUUCCAAAACUAUGAAGUAAACUAUGAAGGAGAAUCAGAAACAGAAGCUGAAUUGAAGGGAAAGGAAGAAGGAUUACCCAUGGUUCAGCGACUGCUCGAGCAAUAUGCAGAUGUCUUUAGGUUGCCCACGGGUUUACCGCCAAGGAGAGCCAUAGACCAUCGCAUUCUGACCGUGGCCGAUCAGAAACCAAUUAAUGUAAGACCAUAUAAGUAUGGCCAUGUACAAAAGAAGAGAUUGAAAAAUUGGUGUUAGAAAUGUUACAAGCUGGGGUGAUUCGUCCAAGCCGCAGCCCAUAUUCGAGCCCGGUCCUCUUAGUGAAGAAAAAAGAUGGAGGGUGGAGAUUUUGUGUAGAUUACAGGAAACUCAAUCAAGUAACGGUGGCUGAUAAAUUUCCAAUUCCCGUGAUCGAAGAACUCUUAGAUGAACUUCAUGGUGCGACAGUUUUCUCAAAGUUAGACCUUAAAUCUGGAUACCACCAGAUUAGGAUGAGGGAGGAAGAUGUGGAGAAAACAGCUUUCCGCACGCAUGAAGGACAUUAUGAGUUCUUGGUGAUGCCUUUCGGCCUUACGAAUGCUCCUGCCACCUUCCAAUCUCUCAUGAACGAGGUGUUCAAACCAUUCCUUCAAAGGUGUGUCCUGGUUUUUUUUUUGAUGACAUUCUAGUUUAUAGUGUGGACAUAGAUGAGCACAUGAAACAUUUAGGAAUGGUUUUUGCUAUCUUGAGGGACCAUGAAUUGUUUGCAAAUAGGUCUAAAUGUGUCAUUUCUCAUUCCCAAGUUCAAUAUUUGGGUCAUCUGAUUUCCAGCAGAGGAGUGGAGGCUGAUGAGGACAAGAUUCGCAGUAUGGUAAAUUGGCCACGGCCGAAAGAUAUAACUGGGCUGAGGGGAUUCCUUGGAUUGACUGGGUAUUAUAGAAGAUUUGUGAAAAGCUAUGGAGAAAUAGCUGCACCCUUAACCAAAUUACUUCAGAAAAAUGCAUUCCAUUGGAAUGAGGAAGCUACAAUAGCGUUUGACCAGCUGAAGCUAGCAAUGACAACCUUACCGGUAUUAGCAUUGCCGGAUUGGUCUCAGCCCUUCACAAUCGAAACUGAUGCUUCAGGAGUAGGUUUAGGUGCAGUUUUAUCACAGAAUGGUCAUCCCAUCGCAUUCUUCAGCCAGAAACUGUCCCCAAGAGCCCAGGGUAAGUCGAUCUAUGAAAGGGAAUUGAUGGCGGUUGUCCUUUCGGUGCAAAAAUGGAGACAUUAUCUCCUGGGCAGAAAGUUCACAAUUAUUUCAGAUCAGAAGGCUCUGAAAUUUCUGUUAGAACAGAGGGAAGUUCAGCCUCAAUUCCAAAAGUGGCUCACAAAACUUUUGGGGUAUGACUUUGAGAUCUUAUACCAGCCGGGUCUGCAGAAUAAGGUGGCGGAUGCUCUCUCAAGGAAGGACCAUUCGGUGGAGUUAAAUACAAUGACAACCACAGGCAUAGUUGAUAUAGAGAUAAUAGCGAAGGAAGUUGAAAUGGAUCAAGAACUUCAGAAAAUUAUUGCCGAACUUAAGGGAGAGGUGGAUCAAGGGGGAAAUACCAGUGGAACAAUGGCAGGCUGCUAUAUAAAGGAAGGAUGGUGCUGCCGCGAAAUUCCUCCCUCAUUCCGAGUCUUCUACACACGUUCCAUGAUUCCAUAUUAGGAGGGCACUCGGGAUUCUUGAGAACCUAUAAAAGAAUGAGUGGGGAACUAUUUUGGAAAGGAAUGAAGGCUGAUAUCAAGAGAUAUGUAGAAGAAUGUGACACUUGUCAACGUAAUAAGUUCGAAGCUACAAAGCCUGCGGGAGUUCUGCAACCCAUUCCUAUUCCCGACAAGAUAUUGGAGGAUUGGACCAUGGAUUUUAUUGAAGGGCUGCCAAUAGCAGGAGGUUCCAACGUGAUUAUGGUAGUCGUCGACCGCCUAAGUAAGUACUCCUACUUCUUGCCUCUGAAACACCCGUACACAGCCAAGCAAGUGGCUUCAAUUUUUUUGGAAAAAGUGGUCAGCAAACAUGGAAUACCCAAGUCCAUUAUUACCGACCGUGAUAAGAUCUUCCUUAGCAAUUUCUGGAAGGAGUUGUUCACUACCAUGGGCACCAUUUUGAAGAGAAGCACGGCAUUCCAUCCCCAAACCGAUGGACAAACCGAGAGGGUAAACAGAUGCCUAGAGACCUAUUUGCGAUGCUUUUGCAAUGAACAACCGAAGAAAUGGGAUAAACUGAUCCCUUGGGCGGAAUUAUGGUAUAACACAACCUUCCACGCAUCCACCAAAACUACUCCUUACCAAUCUGUUUUUGGAAGAACUCCCCCGCCACUGCUGUCAUAUGGAUGGAAGCAAUCUCCUAACAAUGACGUAGAAGUCAUGUUGAAGGAGAGAGAUUUAGCACUCAAUGCACUGAAGGAAAACCUAUGCAUAGCUCAAAAUAGAAUGAAGAAAAUGGCAGACCGAAACCGCAGGGAGCUCAAAUUCAAAAUUGGGGAUGAAGUGUAUUUGAAGCUACGACCCUAUCGACAAAGAUCACUAGCUCGGAAGAAAUGUGAAAAGCUAUCCCCAAAAUUUUAUGGGCCGUAUGAGGUUAUUGAAGAGAUAGGAGAGGUCGCUUAUCGAUUGCAACUACCGCCCGAGGCCGCCAUUCACAAUGUCUUUCACGUGUCUCAACUGAAACUGAAGUUGGGAAAACAACAUGUAGUCCAGCAACAACAGCCUAUACUAACUGAGGAUUUUGAACUACAAUUGUGGCCGGAAAACGUGCUGGGAAUAAGGUGGAACAAGGAGCUAGGAGGCAAUGAGUGGCUGAUCAAAUGGAAGAACUUACCAGACAGUGAAGCAACGUGGGAAUCAGUUUACCUAUUGAAUCAGCAGUUCCCUCAGUUUCACCUUGAGGACAAGGUGAACUUGGAGCCCCGGGGUAUUGUAAGACCUCCAAUUAUUCAUACAUAUCAAAGGAGGGGCAGAAAAGUAAUUGAACAAAUUAAUAAUGAGGAAGGAAAAAGAGGAGGAGAUCGUGCAGGUGGGGCCCAGGCACAGAAAUAAGAGAAAGAUGAGAGAAGGAAUAUAAAUAGGUCUUUUAGGUCUAGGGGAGGUAGGUUUUAUUUUUAUCCUGAAGUUGGCGGCUGCUUAGCCUAGAGGAAUAUCCAGUCUUUCCCUAGAGGAAGCUGGGUUUGUCUUCAUUAUCCCUUGUUUUUCUUGAAUCUUUAUGUUUUUCUGUACUCAUUUUGGCUAUAUAUAAAUAAAGAUAGCAGAGGGCUACCUCUGUUUUUUGCCAUUGUAAGGGAGAAGUAGUGAAGUAAGCAAGUUGAAUCCUUACAGAUUGCUAAGCUUCUUGGCUACAAUUUUGAUGUCGUGUAUAAACCGGGACUAGAAAACAAAGCAGCAGAUGCCUUGUCUCGUGUCCCUCCUACUGCCCAACUUAAUCAACUUACUGUUGAGAUCAGUUAAAUUGGCAGUCCCCAACACUGAAGUUGACCCUAAAUUAGUCCCAGAAAUUAAUGGGAUGGAUCUGAAUGUCUUGUUCAAUGAUGAAGAUAUUCUCCCUAUUAAAAUUCCCCUGGAUUUGCCUAAAGAUUUAGUGUCUAUAGUCGGUGAUUGUGGAAUCAUUCUGGCUUAAAUUAGAUGUGCAACUGCCUUCUCCUCCUCCCAGUCAUUAUUAAGGUUGUCUCCUGGAACACUAAGGGUUUGAACGACUCCUCUAAACGUGCAGCACUUAAAAAAGUCAUCAACAAUUGUAGUCAUGAUUCAAGAAUCUAAGAAGGACACCUUGAACUCGGCUUUUAUAAAAUCAUUGUGGAGUUGUAAGGAUAUUGGCUGGGAUUAUGUGGCUUCUGUUGGAUCUUCUGGGGGAAUUCUUACCAUGUGGGACAGCAGUAAAAUAUCUGUAACAGAGGUCAUUAAAAGACGCUUCUCUUUGUCAAUCAAAUGCCUCACUUUGUGCAAAAAGGUUUGUUGGAUCACAACUGUCUAUGGCCCUUGUGGUUGCAGAGAAAGGAAAUUGGUUUGGCCCGAAUUGUCUUCCUUGGCUGAUUGUUCGGCCGUGGCCUGGUGCAUAGGUGGGGAUUUUAAUAUCACUCGUUGGGCCCGGGAAAGAUUUCCUUUUGGCAGAAGUACUAGAGGAAUGUCAUUAUUCAAUAAGUUUAUUGCAUGGUUUCUCUCAUGGAAAUUCCAUUGCAAAACGGAAGGUUCACUUGGUCUAGAGACGGUAAUUCUCCUUGAAGAUCAUUAUUAGACAGAUUCUUCAUAAAUCAGAUGUGGGAUGUUUGUUUUGAAAAUUCUCGGGUUUCUCGAAAAGCACGCAUCUUCUCGGAUCACUUUCCUUUAUUCUUGGAGGCUGGUUCUUUUCUUUGGGGUUCCUCUCCUUUUCGGUUUUGUAACAGCUGGUUGGUGUCCAGUGAUUCUAAUCAGAUUAUUGUUGAAACAGUGAGCAACUCUAACUUCCAGGGAUGGGCUGGUUUCAUUCUUCAUGAGCAGUUGAGAUCAGUUAAAUUGGCAGUAAAAGCUUGGAAUAUUGCUGCGCAAGCUAAGGUAAAAAAAAAAACAGAGAAAUCCUUGAUGUCAAAAUUAGAAAAAUAUGAUUCUGUGGCUGAGUUGAUUGGAUUAAAUCAAGAAGAGUUGAAUUCUAGAGCUGCUUUGCAAGCGGAAUUACUUAGUAUUUAUCAAAAUGAAGAGCGUAAUUUUAUUCAGAAGAGUAAACUCAAUUGGCUUUCUUUGGGUGAUGAGAAUACGGGCUUCUUCCACCGCUUUCUAAAUGCGAAAAAAAGAAGGAACCUCAUAACUGAAUUAAAAGAUGAUGAUGGGAUUGUCUCGACUUCAUUCGGCGACAUUGAAAGGAUUGUGCUGGAAUUUUUUGAGUCACUUUAUACCAGAAUUCCGGGGGACAGCUUCAUCCCUAUUAACAGUAAUUGGUCUUGUGUUUCCUCAAUUCAGAAUGAGGCUCUUGUUACCCAAUUUUCAGUGGAGGAGAUCUUUAAGGCAUUAAAGGCACUUGGCAACAACAAAGCUCCGGGCCCGGAUGGCUUCACAGUGAAGUUCCUAAUCGCCCAAUGGUCUAUUUUCAAGGAUAUCUUCAAAUCACUAAUGUCUGAUUUCCACAGAAAUGGAAGAUUAAAUGCUUGCAUCCAAGAAAACUUCAUUUGUUUAGUGCAGAAAAAAGAGAAUGUGACUCUAGUCAAGGAUUUCCGUCCAAUCAGCCUUACUACGUUAGCAUACAAGGUCGUUGCAAAGGUUUUAUCUGAACGUCUAAAACAAGUUAUGGAUGCAAUUAUAAGCCCCACUCAAAGCGCCUUUAUUGAAGGUAGGAAAAUUCUUGACCCAAUAUUAAUUGCUAACGAGGCCGUGGAAGAUUAUAGGGCAAAACGGAAAAAAGGAUGGAUUUUAAAACUUGACUUGGAAAAAGCCUUUGAUAGGGUGAAUUGGAACUUUUUAGAAAAAAAUUUAUCUUUGAAAAAGUUUAGUUCCAAAUGGAUAUCAUGGAUAAUGAGCUGCCCAAAAAAUCCAAAGUAUUCGGUCUUCAUCAAUGGUAAGCCUAGAGGCCGGAUAACAGCAUCUUGAGGUAUCCGCCAAGGGUACCCCCUCUCCCCCUUUUUAUUCCUCCUAGUAAGUGAGGUUUUAGGAGAAAUCAUAAACAAGCUUCAUAUUAACAGCCAGUUUGAAGGUUUCCUUGUUGGCAAAGACUUGAUCCACCUCCCUUUGCUUCAAUUUGUCGAUGAUACUCUUCUCUUUUGUAAGUAUGAUGUGAAGAUGGUCCUUAAACUUUAAAACGUCAUUAGAUUAUUCGAAUGGUGUUCGGGGCAGAAAGUAAACUGGGAAAAAUCAGCCCUUAGCGGCGUUAAUGUGGGAGAGGAAGAUUUGUUUCAAACAGCAAAUCUGAUAGGGUGCAAGGUAGAAAAGCUUCUGAUUAUAUAUUUAGGUCUCCCUUUGGGAGGCUACCCUCGACAAAAGUCUUUUUGGCAACCAGUCAUUGAUCGAAUUCACAAGAAACUUGAAAGGUGGAAAAGAUAUAACAUCUCUAGAGGCGGAAGACAAACCUUAUGCAACUCAGUUCUGGUUAGCCCUCCUACAUACUACCUACUUUAUUUUCUAUACCUGAAAAUGUGGCUGCCUCUUUGUUAAAGUGAGUUUUUGAGUGAAGGAAAAGGUCUGCAAUACUCCUUGAAAGACAGGGGAAGCAGAAGAUUGGUGUUCUAUAUUCUGGUUUGCUUAUUAGUACUUUGUUGUUCGGAAUUUUGGAUUAGGAGGUUUUCUUUGUUUGAUGUUUGUGAAUUAUAUGUAACGUGACUCAUUUUCUGAGGU